CCUACGGGUGGCAGCAGUGGGGAAUAUUGGACAAUGGGCGAAAGCCUGAUCCAACCAUGCCGCGUGUGUGAAGAAGGCCUUCGGGUUGUAAAGCACUUUCAGUGGGGAAGAAAGCCUUGGGGCUAAUACCCUCGAGGAAGGACAUCACCCACAGAAGAAGCACCGGCUAACUCCGUGCCAGCAGCCGCGGUAAUACGGAGGGUGCGAGCGUUAAUCGGAAUUACUGGGCGUAAAGCGCGCGUAGGCGGUCUGAUAAGCCGGUUGUGAAAGCCCCGGGCUCAACCUGGGAACGGCAUCCGGAACUGGCAGGCUAGAGUGCAGGAGAGGAAGGUAGAAUUCCCGGUGUAGCGGUGAAAUGCGUAGAGAUCGGGAGGAAUACCAGUGGCGAAGGCGGCCUUCUGGACUGACACUGACGCUGAGGUGCGAAAGCGUGGGUAGCAAACAGGAUUAGAUACCCGAGUAGUC
rnacentral:rRNA from 1 species